UGGGGAAUUGUUCGCAAUGGGCGCAAGCCUGACGACGCAACGCCGCGUGGAGGAUGAAGACCUUCGGGUCGUAAACUCCUUUCGAUCGAGACGAACGGCUCCUGGGUUAAUAACCUGGGAGAGUGACGGUACCGAGAGAAGAAGCCCCGGCUAACUCCGUGCCAGCAGCCGCGGUAAUACGGGGGGGGCAAGCGUUGUUCGGAAUUAUUGGGCGUAAAGGGCUCGUAGGCGGCCAACUAAGUCAUACGUGAAAUCCCUCGGCUUAACCGGGGAACUGCGUGUGAUACUGGAUGGCUUGAGAUUGGGAGAGGGAUGCGGAAUUCCAGGUGUAGCGGUGAAAUGCGUAGAUAUCUGGAGGAACACCGGUGGCGAAGGCGGCAUCCUGGACCAACACUGACGCUGAGGAGCGAAAGCCAGGGGAGCAAACGGG
rnacentral:rRNA from 1 species